GCUGGGCGCAGUGGCACACUCCUGUAAUCUCAGUGACUUGGGAGGCUGAGGCAGGAGGAUCAUGAGUUCAAAGCCAACCUCAGCAACUUAGUGAGGCUCUAAGCAACUCAGUGAGACCCUGUCUCUA
rnacentral:sRNA from 1 species